rnacentral:rRNA from 1 species
AACUUUCAACAACGGAUCUCUUGGUUCCGGGCAUCGAUGAAGAACGCAGCGAAAUGCGAUAAGUAAUGUGAAUUGCAGAAUUCAGUGAAUCAUCGAGUCUUUGAACGCACAUUGCGCCCCCUGGUAUUCCGGGGGGCAUGCCUGUCCGAGCGUCAUU